rnacentral:lncRNA from 1 species
UUAAUUCAACAAGAUACAUUUAGUCAGCAAGAGAAUUUUGAUAGUAAUGAUGAUGGAUGUAAUGAUUGAAGCACUAAUGAGAUUUUUGAGGUGGCAGUCACCUACUUUCCCUUACAAGCUUGUUUCCGUUUUUUUCCUUUUUUUCCUUUUUAAUCCCUAUUUUGCAUGGACCAAAUCUUUUGAAUUUAUGGUCCAUUGGGAUGCCCUAACUUUUGUCUAAGUCAACUCCUUUUGAGUUUUUGACUUAGCAGAAUCUUUUUGAAAUAUGAUGCCCUAACUUUUGCAUAAGUCAAACUUUCAGGGUUUUUUUUUUCUUUUUGACUUAGCGAGCUUUUUUUAAAACAACUCUUGCGUGAU